UAUUUUCGGGAGAUAACCUUUAUGUUUAGAAGGUAGCCGAAGGAACAAGUAAUAUAGCCCAUAUAUUAUGAAUCUCUCAGGCAAAAGAACCGAAAGUU
rnacentral:ncRNA from 1 species